rnacentral:rRNA from 1 species
CAUAGGUUAAUGAGGCGAACCGGGGGAACUGAAACAUCUAAGUACCCCGAGGAAAAGAAAUCAACCGAGAUUCCCCCAGUAGCGGCGAGCGAACGGGGAGCAGCCCAGAGCCUGAAUCAGUGUGUGUGUUAGUGGAAGCGUCUGGAAAGGCGCGCGAUACAGGGUGACAGCCCCGUACACAAAAAUGCACAUACUGUGAGCUCGAUGAGUAGGGCGGGACACGUGGUAUCCUGUCUGAAUAUGGGGGGACCAUCCUCCAAGGCUAAAUACUCCUGACUGACCGAUAGUGAACCAGUACCGUGAGGGAAAGGCGAAAAGAACCCCGGCGAGGGGAGUGAAAAAGAACCUGAAACCGUGUACGUACAAGCAGUGGGAGCACGCUUAGGCGUGUGACUGCGUACCUUUUGUAUAAUGGGUCAGCGACUUAUAUUCUGUAGCAAGGUUAACCGAAUAGGGGAGCCGAAGGGAAACCGAGUCUUAACUGGGCGUUAAGUUGCAGGGUAUAGACCCGAAACCCGGUGAUCUAGCCAUGGGCAGGUUGAAGGUUGGGUAACACUAACUGGAGGACCGAACCGACUAAUGUUGAAAAAUUAGCGGAUGACUUGUGGCUGGGGGUGAAAGGCCAAUCAAACCGGGAGAUAGCUGGUUCUCCCCGAAAGCUAUUUAGGUAGCGCCUCGUGAAUUCAUCUCCGGGGGUAGAGCACUGUUUCGGCAAGGGGGUCAUCCCGACUUACCAACCCGAUGCAAACUGCGAAUACCGGAGAAUGUUAUCACGGGAGACACACGGCGGGUGCUAACGUCCGUCGUGAAGAGGGAAACAACCCAGACCGCCAGCUAAGGUCCCAAAGUCAUGGUUAAGUGGGAAACGAUGUGGGAAGGCCCAGACAGCCAGGAUGUUGGCUUAGAAGCAGCCAUCAUUUAAAGAAAGCGUAAUAGCUCACUGGUCGAGUCGGCCUGCGCGGAAGAUGUAACGGGGCUAAACCAUGCACCGAAGCUGCGGCAGCGACGCUGAUGCGUUGUUGGGUAGGGGAGCGUUCUGUAAGCCUGUGAAGGUGUGCUGUGAGGCAUGCUGGAGGUAUCAGAAGUGCGAAUGCUGACAUAAGUAACGAUAAAGCGGGUGAAAAGCCCGCUCGCCGGAAGACCAAGGGUUCCUGUCCAACGUUAAUCGGGGCAGGGUGAGUCGACCCCUAAGGCGAGGCCGAAAGGCGUAGUCGAUGGGAAACAGGUUAAUAUUCCUGUACUUGGUGUUACUGCGAAGGGGGGACGGAGAAGGCUAUGUUGGCCGGGCGACGGUUGUCCCGGUUUAAGCGUGUAGGCUGGUUUUCCAGGCAAAUC